AACUCAUAGGCGCUGCUGGUAGGAGCGUGACAUUGUACGUAGGACUCUGGGGCGCAGUCAACUGUGUUGAACACCACAAGGCUGUACUGGGUUCCACCAUACUGGGAGGACAAAAGAACUCUAAAAACCCAGGCCUCGGGACUCCAUCUGUCCUCCCUCAGACCCAGGGAUCUACGGGCCUCCGCCCCGUGACUCGGCCGCACACUCACGUCGCCCCCGAAGUCCGUCUCUGCAGGCGGUCCCCCGUUGAAGUACCUGCAAAGGAGGGGUAAGGGCGGCGUCGGCGCAAGCUUAGGGAACCUAUAGGAGAGAGUCGCCCAAUCACAGCACCCGAGAUGACGUUGCCAGGCAACACUGUAAAGUUGCAGUCAACUUGGAAGCCAAGGCAGUUUUCGCUGGAAAAAGAAGCGAAUUCCAACUUAAGUGGAGGUUGCUAGGCAACAUCUGAGCCUUCUUUUCUGGGGAA